AUUGAACGCUGGCGGCAUGCCUUACACAUGCAAGUCGAACGGUAACGGGCCUUCGGGUGCCGACGAGUGGCGCACGGGUGCGUAAUACAUCGGAACGUGCCCGAUCGUGGGGGAUAACGAGGCGAAAGCUUUGCUAAUACCGCAUACGAUCUACGGAUGAAAGCAGGGGACCGCAAGGCCUUGCGCGGACGGAGCGGCCGAUGGCAGAUUAGGUAGUUGGUGGGAUAAAAGCUUACCAAGCCGACGAUCUGUAGCUGGUCUGAGAGGAUGAUCAGCCACACUGGGACUGAGACACGGCCCAGACUCCUACGGGAGGCAGCAGUGGGGAAUUUUGGACAAUGGGCGCAAGCCUGAUCCAGCCAUGCCGCGUGCAGGAUGAAGGCCUUCGGGUUGAAAACUGCUUUUGUACGGAACGAAAAGCCUUCUUUUAAUACAGGAGGGUCAUGACGGUACCGUAAGAAUAAGCACCGGCUAACUACGUG
rnacentral:rRNA from 1 species